rnacentral:rRNA from 1 species
CCAGACUCCUACGGGAGGCAGCAGUGAGGAAUAUUGGUCAAUGGGCGGGAGCCUGAACCAGCCAAGUCGCGUGAGGGAGGACGGCCCUAUGGGUUGUAAACCUCUUUUGCCGGGGAGCAACGGGCGUCACGUGUGGCGCCACUGAGAGUACCCGGAGAAAAAGCAUCGACUAACUCCGUGCCAGCAGCCGCGGUAAUACGGAGGAUGCGAGCGUUAUCCGGAUUUAUUGGGUUUAAAGGGUGCGUAGGCGGUCGGAUAAGUUAGAGGUGAAAUCCCGAGGCUCAACUUCGGAAUUGCCUCUGAUACUGUUCGGCUAGAGAGUAGUUGCGGUAGGCGGAAUGUAUGGUGUAGCGGUGAAAUGCUUAGAGAUCAUACAGAACACCGAUUGCGAAGGCAGCUUACCAAGCUACUUCUGACGUUGAGGCACGAAAGCGUGGGGAGCAAACAGGAUUAGAUACCCGUGUACUG